GCAGACUCCUACGGGAGGCAGCAGUGAGGAAUAUUGGUCAAUGGCCGAGAGGCUGAACCAGCCAAGUCGCGUGAGGGAAGACGGCCCUACGGGUGGUAAACCUCUUUUGUCGGGGAGCAAAGCGAACCACGUGUGGGUCAUUGAGAGUACCAGAAGAAAAAGCAUCGGCUAACUCCGUGCCAGCAGCCGCGGUAAUACGGAGGAUGCGAGCGUUAUCCGGAUUUAUUGGGUUUAAAGGGUGCGCAGGCGGAGGUGCAAGUCAGCGGUCAAAUUGCGGGGCUCAACCCCGUACUGCCGUUGAAACUUCAUCCCUUGAGUGCGCGAGAAGUAUGCGGACUGCGUGGUGUAGCGGUGAAAUGCAUAGCUAUCCCGCAGAACUCCGAUUGCGAAGGCAGCAUACCGGCGCGCAACUGACGCUCAUGCACGAAAGCGUGGGUAUCGAACAGGAUUAGAUACCCUAGUU
rnacentral:rRNA from 1 species